rnacentral:rRNA from 1 species
UUGCUCCACGGAUUAGUGGCGAACGGGUGAGGAACACGUGAGAAACCUGCCUCGGAUUUUGGGAUAACAAUUGGAAACGAUUGCUAAUACCGGAUGACGUCGGAGAACCGCAUGGUUCACUGACGAAAGAUAUUUCGGUUUGGGAGGGUCUCGCGGCCUAUCAGCUUGUUGGUGGGGUAAUGGCCCACCAAGGCAACGACGGGUAGCUGGUCUGAGAGGAUGGUCAGCCACACUGGGACUGAGACACGGCCCAGACUCC